UACAGAGGGGGCAAGCGUUGUUCGGAAUUACUGGGCGUAAAGGGCGCGUAGGCGGCCUGCUAAGUCGAACGUGAAAUCCCCGGGCUCAACCCGGGAACUGCGUCCGAUACUGGCAGGCUUGAAUCCGGGAGAGGGAUGUGGAAUUCCAGGUGUAGCGGUGAAAUGCGUAGAUAUCUGGAGGAACACCGGUGGCGAAGGCGGGUCUCUGGGCCGAUACUGACGCUGAGGAGCGAAAGCGUGGGGAGCGAACAGG
rnacentral:rRNA from 1 species